rnacentral:rRNA from 1 species
GAUGAACGCUGGCGGCGUGCCUAAUACAUGCAAGUCGAGCGAACAGACGAGGAGCUUGCUCCUCUGAUGUUAGCGGCGGACGGGUGAGUAACUCGUGGAUAACCUACCUAUAAGACUGGGAUAACUUCGGGAAACCGGAGCUAAUACCGGAUAACAUGUUGAACCGCAUGGUUCAACAGUGAAAGACGGUCUUGCUGUCACUUAUAGAUGGAUCCGCGCCGCAUUAGCUAGUUGGUAAGGUAACGGCUUACCAAGGCAACGAUGCGUAGCGGACCUGAGAGGGUGAUCGGCCAAACUGGAACUGAGACACGGUCCAGACUCCUACGGGAGGCAGCAGUAGGGAAUCUUCCGCAAUGGGCGAAAGCCUGACGGAGCAACGCCGCGUGAGUGAAGAAGGUCUUCGGAUCGUAAAACUCUGUUAUUAGGGAAGAACAAAUGUGUAAGUAACUAUGCACGUCUGGACGGUACCUAAUCAGAAAGCCACGGCUAACUACGU